GAUGAACGCUGGCGGCGUGCCUAAUACAUGCAAGUCGAGCGAACGGACGAGAAGCUUGCUUCUCUGAUGUUAGCGGCGGACGGGUGAGUAACACGUGGAUAACCUACCUAUAAGACUGGGAUAACUUCGGGAAACCGGAGCUAAUACCGGAUAAUAUUUUGACCCGCAUGGUUCAAAAGUGAAAGACGGUCUUGCUGUCACUUAUAGAUGGAUCCGCGCUGCAUUAGCUAGUUGGUAAGGUAACGGCUUACCAAGGCAACGAUGCAUAGCCGACCUGAGAGGGUGAUCGGCCACACUGGAACUGAGACACGGUCCAGACUCCUACGGGAGGCAGCAGUAGGGAAUCUUCCGCAAUGGGCGAAAGCCUGACGGAGCAACGUCGCGUGAGUGAUGAAGGUCUUCGGAUCGUAAAACUCUGUUAUUAGGGAAGAACAUAUGUGUAAGUAACUGUGCACAUCUUGACGGUACCUAAUCAGAAAGCCACGGCUAACUACGUG
rnacentral:rRNA from 1 species